UACGGAGGGUGUAAGCGUUAAUCGGAAUUACUGGGCGUAAAGCGCACGCAGGCGGUCAAUUAAGUCAGAUGUGAAAGCCCCGAGCUUAACUUGGGAAUUGCAUCUGAAACUGGUUGGCUAGAGUCUUGUAGGGGGGGGUAGAAUUCCACGUGUAGCGGUGAAAUGCGUAGAGAUGUGGAGGAAUACCGGUGGCGAAGGCGGCCCCCUGGACAAAGACUGAUGCUCAGGUGCGAAAGCGUGGGGAGCAAACAGG
rnacentral:rRNA from 1 species